GUGAGGAAUAUUGCGCAAUGGAGGCAACUCUGACGCAGCCAUGCCGCGUGCAGGAAGAAGGCGCUACGCGUUGUAAACUGCUUUUAACCGGGAAGAAACCCCAGGACGUGUCCUGGGUUGACGGUACCGGAGGAAUAAGCACCGGCUAACUUCGUGCCAGCAGCCGCGGUAAUACGAAGGGUGCAAGCGUUAUCCGGAUUCAUUGGGUUUAAAGGGUGCGUAGGCGGAGCGUUAAGUCAGUGGUGAAAUCCUGCAGCUUAACUGUAGACUUGCCAUUGAUACUGGCGCUCUUGAGUGCGCUUGAAGUGGGCGGAAUGUGCCGUGUAGCGGUGAAAUGCUUAGAUAUGGCACAGAACACCAAUUGCGAAGGCAGCUCACUAAGGCGAUACUGACGCUGAGGCACGAAAGCGUGGGGAUCGAACAGGAUUAGAAACCCCUUUAGUCC
rnacentral:rRNA from 1 species